UACGUAGGGUCCGAGCGUUGUCCGGAAUUAUUGGGCGUAAAGAGCUCGUAGGCGGUUUGUCGCGUCUGCUGUGAAAUCCCGAGGCUCAACCUCGGGCCUGCAGUGGGUACGGGCAGACUGGAGUGCGGUAGGGGAGAAUGGAAUUCCUGGUGUAGCGGUGGAAUGCGCAGAUAUCAGGAGGAACACCGGUGGCGAAGGCGGGUCUCUGGGCCGACACUGACGCUGAGGCGCGAAAGCUAGGGGAGCGAACGGG
rnacentral:rRNA from 1 species